rnacentral:rRNA from 1 species
UACGGAGGGUGCGAGCGUUGUCCGGAAUCACUGGGCGUAAAGGGCGCGUAGGCGGCUGGGGAAGUCGGCGGUGAAAGCCCGGAGCUCAAACUCCGGGUCGGCCGUCGAGACUCCUCGGCUCGAGCUCACUAGAGGCAGAUGGAAUUCCGGGUGUAGCGGUGGAAAUGCGUAGAGAUGUGGAGGAAUACCGAUGGCGAAGGCAGCCUCC